GGGGCGGCUGAGCUGCUGCAAAUGGCCGCAGGCUCUGGAGGUGGCAUCUCCCGCACUUCCCGGUGCUCCCUGGUCCGGGUGCAGACACCCAUGGUCCCCAGUCCCCCCGUGCUGCUUCCAGACCAAUGCAGCUGGGGUUUACUGGGGACAUGCGGCUGCUGAGUGGACACAUACGGCUGUUUUUUCCCUGAAAGGCAAAUGCUUCCUGCCAGAAAAAUGUCAUUCCAUCGAUAAAUACUCAGAAUGGAAAAAUGUUUGACCUUCCCUAUUGUGUGACUUCCAUGGGAAGUUGGCCAGGGAGUAGAAGGAGCUGGCUCCCAGUCUUAUUCAGCCCAGUGCAGCUUCUGCUGGACACCAGGAGGGACGUGUGCCUGGAUGCCAUGAGCAUCCAAGACCUUUUGCCAGCCAGCAAGGGCCUGAUCAGUGUCCUAAAAAUGCUCUGUGUAAACUGUUAUAAAGAAUUCUCCAAACCUCUGAGGACUUGGAUGCUCGCUCUGUCUUUUUUGGCACAUCUCAGUCUGUCUUAUCUGCAAGACCCAGGCAACUUCUUCAGAAUAGACCAAAACAAAAGCUGGUGCUUUUUUCUCCUGGUUUGGAAGGCGUUUGCUGGCUGCGGUACCGACAGACAUGGUAAAGGUGGGAGAAGAGCAAAACCAGGUGGUUAACCAAUGGUUUAGAAGAUAACUGCAAGUCACCAGGCUUCUCAUCAGCAAGGGCUCAAUACGCCAACAGGGCUGGGAAAGGAGCUUAGGAUUUGAUGUCUUCCAGUUGCUUGUGCACGAAGAUGCUUGAAUGUCUCACCUCUGCAUCCAGGCACUGGGAGGCAGGGGAUGGAUCGUGCCAGCCCGGCCACAGGACCACAGAGGCCUCCUGAGAUGCCUCCAGGAACUCCCUGAGGCCACCAAGUGUCUGUGUCACUGCUAUCAUGGGACACAGAUCGUCCUAGAGGGAUACGUGUGUGUGAGCUGGGCCUCACACCGGAGUGAUGCUGGUGCCUGCAGAGUGCCUGCUGGUGCCCCCCUGGUCUUUGCCAGUCUGCGUGGAGAUGCCUUGGCCAAGGCUGCUCUGUGGGACUGCAGGGACCUGAGCCCAAGGGGGGGCUCUGAGCCGUCUCAGCCCCUGCCAGCAAGAGAUGUCCACAGAGGGGCUGGGGUUCAGGUGCCCUCGAGGUGAUGUCCAGAGCAGUGCUGCAGGAUGCUCCUUGGGCCUCUCUGGGAGAUGCCACACAGGAGGGCUGUGCAGAGGGUGCCAGCCAGGACGGCUCACGCACACGGGCACCCCUGCCCAUAGAAAGGCUUCAGCAUCUGGCUCCAGACGCUGAAAUUGGGCGACGGUUUGAAAAUGUCAGCUUGCACUGAAAAAAAUAAUAAAGCAGCAUGGUUCUAGCUUUCAGGGUGGUGCAAAGCCAGACAUCAAGAGCACAGACUGCAAAGUCCUGGGGCCAUGGGCAGUCUGCAGCAGGCUGAGGAGCAGCAGAUGCCCAGCUCCGCGGCAGCUCAGACCCCAUAAGCAAUGCUCCAUACAGCACCAUCCUCGCUGUUGCUUUCACAGCUAACUUUUUUGGCUACCAGGCUGGGUAUUUAUAACUCUCCCCUUUUGUUUUUAUUUGUGAGCAACAUCUCAUGGCUGCAGGGAGGACAGAAACUGCCAGCCCCGGCACGCAGGAGGCAGCCACUUCUCAGAAGAGCAGAAAAGGGUUUGCAGGUCCCAGCUGGGGACACCAGCCCCAGGGAGGGGACACCGCCCCGUGGGAUGCACAGCACAGGUGUCCCUGCGCACGGCAUGGUGGCACCCAGCUCCAGGUCCCCCCAGGGCCCAGGGGUGACCCCGUGCCAAGGAAAAGGGGCUGGAGGUGCAUUUGACCCGCAGUCCUGCUCACCGGAGGGGUUAAGUCUCCUCCUCUGUUCCUGGGAAUUGCCGGCUCCCUUCCAGCCUGCAUAAGCCUGCUCCGCCUGCCAAAGCCCCGCUCAGGGCGCUGACGGCCGUUGCGGGGUUUUUUGGCUGUAAACAGCGCUGCUCGGUGGGGGGGGGCAGCUGCGUGUCAGCUCCACGGCACGGGGCUGCUUGAGCGGCACUGAUGGAGAGAAAAAGCCCUGAUGGGGGAAUAUUCUCUGUUUAGUGCUUUUCACGCAAUCUCCAGGUAUUUUGAUAAUAUUUAUUAAUGAUGAUCUGGCAAGAGUUGCCUCCCUGUUGCUGGGACAGACCCCAGCCAUGGAGCAGGCGCUCAGCAGCAGCUCCACACUGCUCCCUCGCACGGCGUGGGUUUGCUCUCCAGUGGGAGCACAGCAGUGGCCCCAGUCCCCGCCACUGAUUUGGGCUCAUUUCUGCCAAAUCCCUUGGAGGGAUGGCGCUGGCGCUGGUGGGGAUCUGUGGCCACGGCGAGAACGGGACGCACGGGUCAGCGGUCGCUGUGUCUGGCCAAACCCUGCUGCUGGCUAUUUUGGAGCACACAUGAGGACUCACUGCCCGGCUUGGUUUUCCCCUCCCUGGCCUCAUCACCCCAAAUAUUUGGGGCAAAGGAAGAAGUGUGCUGCUUUGCACCAGGGGUUCGCCGGCAUCACCUUUGGUACCAGGGAAGGACUCGCUGGGACGAGAGCGGGGUGGGAGCUGUGCCCAGCUCGCUGGAGGGGUUAAAUCUCCUCCCUGCUCCCCAGAGGAGUCAGCUCCCUUCCAGCCUGAGUAAGCCCGUCCUCGCCCCUGCCAAAAUUCUGCUCGGGAACGGCACAGAGAAGGGAAUGCACCCAGCAUAAC